UUGUGAAGUAGCAAUGAUCAGGUUUAGGAAAAUGACUGGGUAGAAAAUAUUAUUCUAUUCACUUUGUUCCCAGCCUACAUUU
rnacentral:snoRNA from 1 species